GCAUAAAAAUGAAGAAGUGGAUUGUGUAGAGCCUUUAAAUUUUUGUCAAGACUUUGUUUUCAAAGUUAGAAGAGAGUUAGAGGACGUUGAAAGCAAAGAAAACUGCUCAGUGAAAUCCUAUGAACUUUCCGAACAGGCCUUUUUUGAUGAUAUUGUUUCAAUCGGAGAGAACGAUGAGGUCGUAAAAUCAUUAAACGACAAGCUUUGGGAAAUUGAAAGUCAAUUGACUGAUAAUAUCGAAUAUGAACAUUCUGAUUUGAUUAACCCCGAAGCUCGUGCUAUUUAUGAGCGAGUUAGACAGUUUUUAUCAAUAUAUCGUUCUGGUCCAAUUCCUAAGGCCUUCAAAGUACUUCCUUGUUUUUCUAACUGGCUUGAAAUACUAAAAAUUACUGAUCCAAAUGGGUGGACCGCCGCAGCUAUGUACGAAGCAACACGAAUUUUUGUGUCUCGUUUGUCUGUUGAUCAAGUACAGUCUUUCCUAUCAUUUGUUUUGCUACCUCGAAUUCGCGACGACAUCAAAUACUAUAAAAAGCUUAAUUUUCAU